AAUGCAGACAUUAUUCACAAAUUUUCAAUUCAAGACUAGUGUCUAAAUGCAGAAGUAGAAAAAAAAAACGAGCGAAGUACACAGAAGUACACAGAUUAGAGUGAUUUAUUACUUUUCCAACCCAAAAGAAAUGCAAGAUGUUUGCUCAGGCAUGCCUAGUAUAUGUGCCCUCUAUAAAUACAUAGCAACAUCCAAUGCUGAAUGAAAAGAUUUAUAAAUGCUAGAAACGGGCCAAGCCUAUUUAGCUCCAAAUAGAGAGUUUCUUUAUGAAAUUUUAUCUUGACAAAUACUAAGUACUAACAAUAUAAUAUAUUUUCUAGCUUAGCUACAACACUUGAAUUCAUGAAAGAANNNNNNNNNNNNNNNNNNNNNNNNNNNNNNNNNNNUCAUCAACUAUCCUCCAUCUGCAAUAUUCAUCAACAAUAAUCAAAUUAUAGCUUAUCUUAACAGGAUCAAAGUCAAAGACUCAAAAUCAUAUUUUGCCACAUACCUCUCGAGCAAAAAUUCCCCUUCCUUAAAAUUUUCACUUUUCUCAUGUGCUAUGACCUGAAAGAAUCCAAAAUUAUUACUUCAAACUGCAUUGAGCUCAUCAAAAGGUGAUGCUGAUAUACUUGGAGAUGAGACUAAACAGGAUAUUAAAUAAAUCCAGAGUUUCAUGGAAUGCAUCAACUAAAUUAACUUCUCAUGGAACAGGAAACAAUUUCUUUAAACUGGAUAUUAAAUAAAUCCAGAGUUUCAUGGAAUGCAUCAACUAAAUUAAGUGUUUAAUAUGGUUUAAUGGAUAAAAUUCCCCAUAUCUGAGGUAAUAUAUAUCUACAGAUAUCAUAUUUUGAAUUUCUGAUUUACCUACAUAUUCAAUCAAAUCGAUAGCUAAUUUUAACUUUCAAGACUGACCACCAAAAUUAAUGAUGUCAAUGAACUAUCUCCUAUAUAAAAAAUAAAAAUAAAAAUACUUGUGGAACUUACAGAUUAAAUUCCAAUUUCUUUAAAAACCAAAGAAAAAUUGAAGAGUAUGCAUUUCAGAAUUUGAGGUUUAAUUUUCAUUGUUAUUCAUUGGACUACAACAACCAAAGCCUUUUCCAACUAGAUGGAGUUGAUUGCAUGAAUCAAAAAAACAUGAUUAAGUUCUCUUAUUAUAAAGCAAUUCCAUAAAUCAAGCUAAUCCAUCAUGUCACAGAAACACUGAGGUCCGUUAAACUUUCCUAAAAAUCUCAAUAUCUUAUAUCAAUAACACAGGAGAAAGGGGCAAAGUUCUCUUAUAUCUAUCAUGCAUACUCUUACUAAAUUGUCUGAAGCACAAUACUUUUUUUUUUAGAAACAGCAAAAAAUUUAUUCAAAAGAGGCACUUGAGUACAAGAGAUACACAAGGAGCACAAGGCAGGAGCCAAAAAGAGCCCACCUGAAAAACAAAAGCAACACCAACAAGGCAAAAAAACUCCACCCAAAACAAAAGCAAAAACCAGAAACUACGGAGGAAUAAAAAGAGACCAAGAAAACUCCAGUAGCAGCAACACAACCUCAGCCACACACCAUGGAACAAAAGAUGAAUACAAGAAGACUCACCAUGGAACACGAGGAAAAGAAUGAACAGAUUGGGAGGGAUAAUAACAUCCAAAUUCAGCCACACACCAACCUCCCUCCACACUUUCUGAGCAAAAUUACAGUGGAGCAAAAGAUGAAUACAAGACUCAGCUUUAUCCACACACCACAAACAGUCUUGAUUACCAGCAAGAUGCAACAGCCUUCUCCUNNNNNNNNNNNNNNNNNNNNNNNNNNNNNNNNAGAUCUAUAUGAAAGUGUGAUAAUAAACAUGGAUAAUAAAGGAGAAAGGGGCAAGGAACAAAGAAUAUAAACAAAUGUUUCAAAUAAACUUACACUUUGCUGAAAAGGUAUGCCCUCCCUCGACCGCAGGAGUGAAAUUUGUUGGAACGAAGCUUGAGGGCAGGAGUUAAGGUUGAACGAAUUCGAAAAAACGUUGGAAUGAAGAAGAUGAAUUCGUCGUUGUUCAUUACGUGGCGGGUGGAGCACUCUAGGCGGCGGGUUACCAGNNNNNGACAACUUCUUUCUCCCUUGCCUUGCUUGCUCCAUUUUCCUUUUUCUAAUUAAAAGUAGCAAGUCACGUUGGUGGAUUGCUUGAUAGCAUAGAUGGAAUUUGACAAGAAGAUGGAAUUAAGCUUAAAUUUGUCCUGGGUUGAUACAGAUAUUGAGAAAUUGAUACAUAUAUUGAGAUGGUUUUUUAAUUUGGGAUUUAGGGUUUUCUUGAUGCUACAUAGAAAAUGGAUGUUAUCACAUAUUAUUUAGGGAUUUAUGCAUGAUUUUUUUUAAUUGAAAUAUUGAUGGUUUUUUUUAGGGAUGAUUUUUUUUAAUUGAAAUAAAUUAUUUUUUUUGUUUGUAAUUUGUAAAUGAAUAUUUACUUGAUGGGGGACUCAUAUGCAAUAAAUAAAAGUUUGUUAAAAAA
rnacentral:lncRNA from 1 species